GUGGGGAAUAUUGGGCAAUGGGCGAAAGCCUGACCCAGCAACGCCGCGUGAAGGAAGAAGGUCUUCGGAUCGUAAACUUCUAUCCUUGGUGAAGAUAAUGACGGUAGCCGAGAAGGAAGCCCCGGCUAACUACGUGCCAGCAGCCGCGGUAAUACGUAGGGGGCAAGCGUUGUCCGGAAUGAUUGGGCGUAAAGGGCGCGUAGGCGGCCUGGUAAGUCUGGAGUGAAAGUCCUGCUUUUAAGGUGGGAAUUGCUUUGGAUACUGUCGGGCUUGAGUGCAGGAGAGGUAAGUGGAAUUCCCGGUGUAGCGGUGAAAUGCGUAGAGAUCGGGAGGAACACCAGUGGCGAAGGCGACUUACUGGACUGUAACUGACACUGAGGCUCGAAAGCCAGGGGAGCGAACGGGAUUAGAUACCCGUGUAGUCC
rnacentral:rRNA from 1 species